ACAGAAUUUUAUUAAAAAUAUUAAAAAUAUGAGAGUAACAAUAAAUACAAUAUUACUGUAGUAGUGCAGUGGAAGCCAUUUAAACUCAGUAAGGACAAGGUCCAUUUCCAAAUAUCUCGCCUGAGCACCAUACACUGAGUGGAUUUCUUUAUUACGUAUAUAUGGCGGCCAAUUUUUAAUGUAAGGCACUGUUGAGUUGUUUGAGGCACUAGCUGUUAACUCUACCAGUUCGUGCAUUUGCAACAAAUAUAAAGUCAAAACACUGAUAUAAGGAACAAUUAAACUAUUACAAUGACUUACUCAUUUCCUGACAGACAUUCAGUGACUCAUAAAAUCAUGCUUUCUCAUACUUAGAAAUGAUCAUGCUUUAAUUCUUGUGCUUAGAAAUUAUCAUGCUUUUAUAGUGUUGUUCUUAGAAAUGAUUACGCUUUCUGGGUUGUGCUUAGAAAUGCUUG